rnacentral:misc_RNA from 1 species
UUAAGGGGAAAAAACUGAAUUGCUAUUUCGUCUUGAAGAUAGAAAUCAAUCUGCUGCAAAUUAAGGCAAAUUGCACAAGCUUGAAGCGGAAAUUUACUGCACAUAUGAUCACAUUUUGGAAGGAGAAGGCUAGAGCCAAUUUACACUACUUGCACAGGCAUUAAUACUGAUACAGACAAAAGAGUAGGGCUACCUAUACUUUUGGGCUAGAAUUUCUUGUGUCCAAGUAGUUGAUAUUAGUGUGUAGACUAGAGAGUGAAGUUGAGGGAGUGGAAACUGUAGUAUGGUUUCUUUCCCUCGGCACCUACAUUGAAGCCUUGUGACUUGAGCUGGCAUAAUGAUGCUACCGACUCCUUCAUAGUUUCAGGUCCACAAACCAAGACUCCAACAUCAGAUCCUUCAGUUUCAUUUGGAAACUUGGAGAACAUAUCUAUAUGCAUAUCAUGUUAGAACAUAGAUCAUAACUAUAGAUCAAAGUUAAAAAAAAUAUGUUUUUCAGAAUUUUUCUUUUUUUUCAAAAAAGAAGCAAUAAAUUUAUAUAUAGUACCGUGGAAAUUAGGCCUUCCCACAAAAUGGAUUUCAUGUUCCUCAAAAGCACUGAUUUCCACUUGACGCGGUUCCGCUGAUUUGCCUUGUUUUUGGGAGACUGGAGGAAUCGCUUUCUUGAGCCUUUUCCAUCUCAAAAUGAAUGCCAAAAAAGUGCUGCAUGUUAUAGCUAUGAUGAACGAAGAUAAGAGAAGUAGAUCAACCACCGAUGAAGGAGUCUUUUCUUUUGGGACCUUCUUCUCUCGGCGAACAACCAACUUUUCGGAGGCAGCACCGCCAUUCUUCUCCGAGGAAACAAAGAUGUGGUUGAAACACAUCAGAAAAACAAGAAACACAACGCAGGUUAAUGCGGUUAAGGCAGCCAUCCAAAGAGGACUUUCUAGUCCAUGCACCGCAUAAUUGGAAAUUUUUGUGUCGAAGUUAACUGUUUGUAUUACAGAAAAAUCAUUUAGUAAUUCUCCCAAGCUUGCAUUAGACUUCUCUUCUUGGGUCACAAAAACUUUCAGCUUUAGAUUCAAUUGUUUGGAUGAAGACUGGUUUAGAAGUAGAGAAGAUAUUGAGUUCAACAGACAAAUUUCUUGGGACUUUUUCACUACAUAAAUAAGCUGUAUUUGUGUUGGGAAUCUGUAUCUGCUGCUGCUGCUGCUUUGGACAGAAGCAAUUUCCUUUAAGAUGCUCAGAAAUGGGGUUAUCCCAAUUCCGCCUGCGAUCAGGACUAGGUUGUCAUAUCUCAGGAAGUCCAGUGAGGCGGGUCCAUAGGGGCCUUCAAUUGCUGCAUGUAUGCAACUCAUAUGAUCUGCAUUUGAAUCUAAAUCUGCUUGUAUCAUGUCAUAUAAAGAACUUGUCCAGCCUCCCUCACACUUUAUUAUAACGGACAUCACUUCAUCAUCAACAUUGGAACUAGAAGUUAUACUGAAGGAAUGCCACUGAUACUUGGAUAUACUUGGUAUCUUCAUAAAUAUCACACUUGUUGGGGUAUAUUUCAACCUUGGAUCUUUAGGCAGAAUAAGUUCUACAGCUUUAUUGGGAAAUACUCUUGCUGAGAGAAUGCAAGUUUCUGGUCUUGAUUGUAUGGUUCGGAGCAGCUUGUCGAGACCAAAGAGAAACAUUCCAGGGAAAACCAUAUAGAAAUGUCGGUCUCCAGCAUGAAAUAGGAAGAAUAUUAAGAACGAAAUAUAAAGAUGGUGUGUGUAGUAGAAGAUUUCGAAUCUUUUCCUCCUUAUUUGAGGAAGUGAUGUAAUCCAGAUUACUAGUCCAGUGACAAGAGCUAUCUCCCCAGCUAAGUAUAUCCUCCCUGUUUUCUGCCAUCUCCACAUCUCAUCUUGAAUGUGGUGGCUGACACCCCAGAUGAACAAGGUGCUUCCACCAUGAACAGUGGCAAAAAAUAUCAUUGAAGUCCCAAGCCAGAUAUGGUAUCUUACUGAAGCUUCAAAUUGGAUGCCAAGUAAUUGAAAUAAGGCCAGGCCCCUUAAAAUAGGCAGAAGAAGCAAAGCCAGGCAGGCUUCUGCUAGCAAACCAAAACGGGUUGCCACUCUCAGAUACUUGAGUUGCCAUAAAUUCAAUUUCGGAGAUUUGAUUGGCAUCAAGUUCUUGAAAUCGUUAGAGAUGCGGGUAUAAUAAGUCCAUGCUAAAAAGAGGAUGAAGAGGAACACACCCAGGAUCUCUAUGCAAGACAAAAUACCCACAAAGCUGUUUACUAUCACAGGAUUUGAGAAACCAAUAGUUGAGCUCCUUGCUUUUCUCCUUCUUAAUGGCUCCUUGGACAGCAAAUUCAAGUAAACAAGUCCAAUUAUAGCCAGAGAAAUUACAGGAAAUGUGUACACAGCAAAGUCAAGACCGUAAUAGCCAAAUAGUGUAGGCCUAGUGCUAUCUUCAGCUCCUUUCCAUUUUCUUGUCCAUAGAUUAGUAGGCUUUAGCAGCCAAAGAGAAACCCAACCAGCAAAUAUUAAGAUCAUCAAUAAUUUUAGAAUGGCAAGAAGAAUAGAUUUUGCCAUGUCUGCCUCCUAAGAUUGUUUCAAGAAGGUAUUAAGCAUAUAGAGAAUCCUGAAGAAAGAUUGAUCCAUUCGGCUUGAAAAUUGCAGAUAGCCCCACCACUGGCUUUCAAAAAUAUGCCAAUAACUUGCAUAGCCACCCAAUAUGAAGAUUGUAUAUAUGCCACCAUCUUUCAGAAGUGCUCAUCAUUCAUCCACUUCCCCAUAGUCUUCGAGUGUCAAUUUUCUGCAGUAUGAUCUGAAAUGGAUAUGUGUGUUUAUCAUAUGAGAAGAAAAAUUUUCAGCAUUUCAAUAAUAUUUUCCAUUACAAAAUAGAAGAAGUUGUCACUUGACAUUGAUUGGAGUAAUUUUAAUGGAAAAUUAUGACAGAACAUUCUCAUAGGUUGUAUUUGCAGGCAAAAAGGUCACUUCCUG